rnacentral:rRNA from 1 species
UACGGGGGGGGGCAAGCGUUGUUCGGAAUUACUGGGCGUAAAGGGCUCGUAGGCGGCCAACUAAGUCAGACGUGAAAUCCCUCGGCUUAACCGGGGAACUGCGUCUGAUACUGGAUGGCUUGAGGUUGGGAGAGGGAUGCGGAAUUCCAGGUGUAGCGGUGAAAUGCGUAGAUAUCUGGAGGAACACCGGUGGCGAAGGCGGCAUCCUGGACCAAUUCUGACGCUGAGGAGCGAAAGCGUGGGGAGCGAACAGG